GGAUUACUCCUUUACGCUUUCGCGCUUGAUUGAUAAAGUUUCGCACCUCUAUCAAACCGGGUAAUCCCCCCCUUUGGCAUGAUCUUAUUGUCAGAUCAAAUCUGAAUAUGCCUAUGAACUAUUUUCAGCUUAAUUUGCUCUAAGCUGCAAGAUCAACAGGAU
rnacentral:sRNA from 1 species